GACGAACGCUGGCGGCGUGCUUAACACAUGCAAGUCGAACGAAGUGGCGAACGGGUGAGUAACGCGUAAUCAACCUGCCCUUCAGAGGGGGACAACAGUUGGAAACGACUGCUAAUCCCGCAUACUGAAGGAGGGGAUUGCGUCUGUUUAGCUAGUUGGUGGGGUAACGGCCCACCAAGGCGAUGAUCAGUAGCCGGUCGUAGAGGAUUAACGGCCACAUUGGGACUGAGAAACGGCCCAGAUUCCUACGGGAGGCAGCAGGGGGGAAUCUUCCGCAAUGGAGGAAAGUCUGACGGAGCAACGGCGCGUGAUGGGUGACGGCCUUCGGGUUGGAAAGCUCUGUUAAUCGGGACGCGGUACCGGAAUAGAAAGCCACGGCUAACGACGUGCCAGCAGCCGCGGUAAUAC
rnacentral:rRNA from 1 species